CUUGGGGCCUGCUUAGAGUUGCAUGGUGCGACACAGGGGACUACAGGGUCAGGAGACGGUAUACGGGGCUUGGGGGCUGCACGGUGCGACACAGGGGACUACAGGGUCUCCGGGACAACAGGUGCUGUCAGCACAGGGCUGCCCCGGUUACUAUAGCCCGCGGUCGGGGACGGCAAGGCCCCGCUCCCCCAGGCCCGCCGCCGCUUGUACCUGACACGAAGACCACGAAAACCGAGCUCUGUUGCUUGGCAGCGGCGAUGGCGGCCGGGAUGGUGCCGCGAAACCACAACAUGGUAUCCCUUAGGCUCUCGCUCUCUAGACCUGGACUCCCAGCGGCCCACCCUCGCGCUGCGCAUGCGCCACGAAACCCGCAACCUCGCUGUGAAACGGUGACUAACCGCUCCCAACCACCCCAGGGCGCGUGCGCUGCCUGCCGCGCAGGUCGGUGGUGGGGUAAACCUGGCUGUGAUUCCCCCUUGCACAUUCCUCUAGUCUCCUCCCGGUUGCCAGUGACACAUAGCGCAGCGCGGGUGUGCCCGCGGCAGAUUCACCACGUUAGGGAAGGAGCCGCCCGGGCGCCGGCGAAAACUCCUGGGAACUUGGGAAGUGGCGGGAGAGGCCAGCGAGCCUGGAGUGCUGGGCUCGGGGCCCAGCGCGGCCCUAGGAGUGAACGGCGGGCGGGCGGGCCAGGGGGCUAGCCAGGCUGUGGGUGGGCUCCGCGCUUACAGGGGGCGGCCCGGCCCUGUCCGGCCUCGCGGGGGCGACACACACAGAGUGGGGCCGGGCCGGGCCUCUCUCUGCAGCCCCGCCUUCGUGGAAGGAUCGUCCCCUCCCUGGGCUCUUCCUCGCCCCGUUCAGGGAAGGGGGUUCAUUGAGGCUGCUGGCCAGCUCGGCGCGGGGCCGGCUCCGGGGCUCCGCCGCGCGCGCAGCGGCCACGGGAGAAAACGGCAGGUGGCUCCGCCUAUAGUCCUGAGAGGCCGCUGUUGUGUCGUGAUGAGAUCGUCAGCGUCCCCCCCGGCGGACAAGCUGCGUCUACCGCACAGGGCCUCCAUGUUGUAGAAACCCAGUGACACUGCUGAAUGUCCUAAAGACCUGCAGAAUGCUACAUCCUGCAACAUCCGGGAGAGUAGGGUGUUGACCUUCCUCAUUUGUGGAGCCUAGCCACAAAUCAUUAAGCAGGUCAGCUGCUCUUCCUAUGCCUUACUUCUCUUUUCAAUCUCUCUUCACAGUGGAAGUAAGUGGGGUUUGGAUAUCAAGACCACUUGGGCUCUCUCAGGUAAUGUCAAGAAUACACACUUUCAGGGAAACAGGUUAGAUGCAAGUUAAAUUUUAUCUGGUCCUAUUCUAAAGGCCAAUUUUUAUUGCAAUGUGGGAAAACCUGCAUACCCAGUUUGGCAGAUACUUGGUGGCCAUAAGCAGAAUCUUCGAAUAUGCGGGCAUGAUCUUCCAUCUAAAUGAAUCUGACUUCUUGUGGAUAGUCACAGUAUUAGCAUGUAAGGGGUGGGAUUUAAAUUCUAUUUGCUAUUUUUUGGCACGUAUCUUGACUUGACAUUAUCAGUUUAUGUUUUAAUUUGUGAUAUAAAAUCUAUGUGGAAAUGCUGUGAGGCUUUGUCAGGCACAUUUAUUCAUUAGAAAAAUACUGCAGAGAAAUCGUAGCUUUUUUUUUUUUUAAAAAAAAUAGACAAGGCUGUAACCAGCUUUCUGUUUACGUGGCCACGUCUGUCCCCUGGCAUCAUCUCCCAGAGUCAUAAAAAGUUCUUGUCUGCAUCAUAUUCAUAAACCUAUCAUCAUAUCCUCAUUUAAAUUCCCACUUAAAGCCUUCCUCUUCUAUGAUUACUUGUGAUAGCAGCACAUACCUAUAUCCAAAGACAAAAAGAACAGUGAUUAUAUAUAAAGUAUGUGCAAUGCUGCAAUAUUUGCUUUCUAAAGUAUGGACCAAGUCUUAACAAUUAAGCAUAUCAUACGAGAGUAGAUUUGGACAAAAGGUAAUUUUUUUUGGUCUGGCUCUCAUUAGGCAAGUUGUAAGCUAAGAUCUGUUAAACACUGUUCCCUAAAUAUGAGGAAAACUUGCAAAAUGGCAUAAUAUGGAUUCACUUAGGUUUCAAGCAGUCCUGUAAUUUAAACAAAUGCACUGGAAAAAGUUGGUUUUUGUAAACAUUUAUUUUCUUGAACUGAAAAAAGGCUUGCAUCAGCACACAUUGUACAGCCUUGCAAAUUACACAGAAAUUGAAAAAAGAUUGUUUGUAUGUGCAAUGAAACUUCUGCUGUCCAGUGAUCCUCUGCAAAUGAUGAAAACAUAUUUAAAGAAUUUAAAGACUUAAGAAGGGUCCAGCACUUAUUUAAACACAAUUAUCCUAGAGUGCAAAGAAAGAAAAAGAUUUAUACCCGUGGAAACACAAAGUGCAAACGUUUUGUCAUUUGGGGGAAAUACCUUUUAGUGUCUUCACCCUUUUACUACAAACAAAUUGGCUUCAAUGAACAUUCUUUGUAGUUUAGACAUAUUCAUAUUCCACUUUAAUACUUAUGCUAACCUGUUUGAUUAGAAAUGAGUUCAAGAAUAUAAUUUAUUUGUAAUUAUCUUUCACACUGAGUGAAUCUUGAAAGGACUAUUGCCGGAGUUUAAAAGUUAUUGAAAUUGCUUUAUUUGAAAAAGAAACGGGAAGAGAAAUAUGUUAACUGGAGACUUUUGCGUAGUUGGCUAGAAAACAGUGUAAAUUUCUUAAUAGUUAUUCUCCUUUCCCUUACCCCAUUCCACCCCAAGCCCUCUGCCCUAAAAUGGAUAGCUGUGUGCUGGCUGUGAAAAGGGAUUACAAAAUAUAGAUCUGAAUAUGGGUAUUCAUUAUGAAGAAAAGUUUGCUGUACAAUAGAGAUUUGGAUCUGAUACAAGAAUUCAGAAAUAUAAAACAAAAUUAUUAUAAAAGUAAGGGGCAUUUUAACAGCAUUCUUCAUAGAAAGCUGCCUUUCUGUAUCUUGUCAGAAUGGAUUCUUACAGUUGUGUGGGAUUAACUUUAUAUCUGUUUUUCUUCUUCUUCUUGCUGGAUCACUGGGUUAUUCUUCCAAGGCUAUAAUGUCAUAUGAGAACACAUUCCAGGAAUCUCUAUGAAGAGAACAGAAACCCUGUAACAUCAAGCCAAUCAAGUAGAGAAGAGAAGGACAUGGAACUAAUAAAGGCUGAAUGUCCAACAAUGUAGCUGCUACUGAGAACUAGCCCUUUCCAGAAUAUGAAACUCAUAGUGCUUCUUGCUUGUUCUCAGCCUAAACUUGUUAGCUGAGUUACUUUGUUUCUUCAGUGCAUUUUGAGCUGCUGACAUUGUAGGGAACGUAGCUAGAACUGUGUAUGUGGAGGCCAAGUCACUAGGUUUGGAGGGUUCAGUGUUCACAUUACUAUCUCCACUGCCACAAUAACGAUGUUGGUGUUGCUGUUGUGUCUGUAGACACUGGGGAUUCCUUAGCCACCGAAUCUUGGCACCAACUUUAAAAAGUUCUCCAAAUAGUUUUUCAGCUUCCAUACGAGUUAUUCCUUCUGGCAGUUCAGUAAUUUCUAAGACUUUUCCAACAACUAAAACAAGAAAUAAGUAGAAUUAAAAUUGGUCAUUACAUUUAACAAGGAUUCAAUCUUACAUAAAAUAGUGAAGUUACAUUAGAUGAACAUUUAGUUUGCAGCAAGCUGGGGUGAGAGUCUAUUCCACCCUGCUGCCCAUAGGGACCCUGCUGAUGCAUACCUUACCGUUUCAAAGUACGGUAGAUCAAACUGCAGUAACUGUGCAUGUCAGCAGGCUUCCUAAUAACAGUUAGUGCAGGAUAGAUUCACACCCCAACUUGCUGCUAACUACAAGUUCAUGCAGAUGAGCCCUUAAGUCCUCAGUUCUGCAGCAGAACUGAAGACUUAAGACUAAAACUUGGAUGAUCUAUUAAUGGGAUAAAAAAAUACGGUUGCAAUAAAAAUGUGGGACAGUGAGAACCGUGACUUGCUUCACUCACAGCAAUGUAAAACUUACAGGAAAACACAACUUUGGCUAUCUGCUCUCAUGGCAGAGACUACCUAAGGAAAGCAGCCCAGCUCCCUUCUGUAUUCACUGAUCCACAAAGAGAGUUGGUGGUAAUACACAAAACAAUUCUUUGCCAGUACAAAAAAAUCAUUUAUCUGUGGAUUUCAAAAUGAUUUACAAAAAUUAAACCUCACAGCACCCAUUUCACAUAUAGAUAAACUGAGGAAUUCAAAUGGUUCAAGGUGUCACAGACAGAACUAAGUUCUAUAUAUGUUGUCAAAGAGCAAAUAAUGCCAGCUGGGGGAAGGAGGAUGUUAGUUUCCCCCUUGUGAACCUGAUCUUGUCCAGUCAAAAUGAACUCUCCCUCAAAUCUCCUUUCAGGGCCUAGCUAACAAUCCAACAAAGAAAUAGAUUUUGAACAGUCAGUGGAACACAGUCCUAGCAUUCUGGCCAUGCCCUGCUCCAUUUAUUGGGUUGCACUUGUUGCCCGUGGUCUGCACAAUGGAGAGAGGUUGUACCUUUGUUCCACCCAUCAUAUUUAUUGGCAACAAAUGCAGUGUUCUGAUUUGUCAGGGAAAAAAAUAUGAAAAUCAGGAAUGAAUUUAGUCGAUGUAUUACAUUCAUAGUUCUGGUAAGCUAAGGGCAGUUAUGGAAGAAUUUUCUAUUAUAUUAAACAUAACUUACAAAUAUUUUGGUAUUAACUUUUAUAUUAAAUAAUUGUACUUA